CAGCAGCCGCGGGAAUACGGAGGGUGCAAGCGUUAAUCGGAAUUACUGGGCGUAAAGCGCACGCAGGCGGUUUGUUAAGUCAGAUGUGAAAUCCCCGGGCUCAACCUGGGAACUGCAUUUGAAACUGGCAAGCUAGAGUCUUGUAGAGGGGGGUAGAAUUCCAGGUGUAGCGGUGAAAUGCGUAGAGAUCUGGAGGAAUACCGGUGGCGAAGGCGGCCCCCUGGACGAAGACUGACGCUCAGGUGCGAAAGCGUGGGGAGCAAACAGGAUUAGAUACCCGAGUAGUCCCUGUCUCUUAUAC
rnacentral:rRNA from 1 species